rnacentral:lncRNA from 1 species
GGAAAUGAACUAAGUGAUGCCCUUUAUACUAACGCGCAUAUCCAUUUCACAAUGCCAUGGACCAAUGUUCUCAUCUCAGUUGUGACUUAACUCUCUCUCCCCAACGAGCGAGGGGCUGAAUGAUCACCUUAGUCUUCACCGGAAGAAUUCUCCUGGGAUGACUUCAAGGAGUUGUCUUGUAGGGAGGCAACAUCAGCUCAAGGGAGAAGGCCUCUUGGUUUAAGGAAGGAGACCUCUGUUGAGGCUCACAGAUGUCCGAGUUGCUGAAUAUCCUGGGUGAACAGAAGAGAUUGGUGUUCUCCAACUGGGGUCACUGGAACUUCUGUCUUCAUAGGAGACCUGACUUCCAUUUGCCUCUGAUGCUCAGGCACAGCCCUCGGACGUGGACAUCAUCAAACGUCCUCUUCGCCUUGGAAGGGGGCAAACAAAAUCCAUAUUUCAACUCCAUUUUCUCACUGGGAGGAGAGAGGGGCAGGUACCAGUAAGAUAAGACAGAAAAUGAAGAAAGGAGAUAAGAGAAAAAAAAAGAUGUCUGACUAAAUGAGGGUGCCAGUGCUCCUUGGAGUCAGAAAACGCUGAUUCCGGCUCUGGGAAGAAAGUGAUCCUGGACCAGCCUCUUGCUCCAGAAGGUGAGAAAGCCUCCUGUUCUUCCGGUCACGACAGAAGGAAUCAGAAGCCGACUAAAAAGUUUUUCCAGGGGCCACAUAGAGACAAUUUUAGCGUCAAACAAAUGAUAACUACAAUUGACGGCAACACGUUGGACCCAUUAGGUCAGACUGAUGCUGGGAAUAAAGGCAGAACAGAAACAUAAAGUUUUUUUUAAAAAAAUUUCACCCUUUUUAAAGAAUAAAUUAUUCUGAAAACUAGUGAAGGUAGCGCAUAAAACAAGCAUUUAUCUCAUUUUAUUUGUGGAAACUGUGCUUUGGGGGAACAAAUGAGUGUUGAAGGAAUGGUCUUUAUAGAUGAAAUCUGGGCAAUACAAGAGGAAAUCGGAACUAUUAGGUUGGUGGAAAAACCGUGAUUACUUUUGCACCAACCUGAUACAAUAUCCCAGUUGGGCAAUCUCGAAUGACGCAAGAUGAGCGUCAUCAUCAUCAUUGCUGCCAACCCAUCUGGUGAGGAGCUGGGAGAGAGCGUGGAAACACUGAGCCGGCGGCUCCAUCGUUACAACGCCGCAGGCAAACAAGGGGAAUUCUGGGAGAGAGCGUGGAAACACUGAGCCGGCGGCUCCAUCGUUACAACGCCGCAGGCAAACAAGGGGAAUUCUGGGAGAGAGCGUGGAAACACUGAGCCGCGGCUCCAUGGUUACAACGCCGCAGGCAAACAAGGGGAAUUCUGGGAGAGAGCGUGGAAACACUGAGCCGGCGGCUCCAUCGUUACAACGCCGCAGGCAAACAAGGGGAAUUCUGGGAGAGAGCGUGGAAACACUGAGCCGGCGGCUCCAUCGUUACAACGCCACAGGCAAACAAGGGGAAUUCUGGGAGAGAGCGUGGAAACACUGAGCCGGCGGCUCCAUGGUUACAACGCCGCAGGCAAACAAGGGGAAUUCUGUGGCUCCAGUGUGACACGGUGAGGGGCGCACAUCGCCGUGAACUCCUUUUUCCCCCACAAAAAUCCGAAUCAAAUUAAGCCUCUACAUUAGCGCUGUUCAACAGAAAUAUCACGUGAGCUAUCUUACAGUAUUUAAGACAGGAAUCUUAAAUUUUCUAGUAACCACGUUAAAAAGGUAAAAAGAAAUUGUUGAAAUUAAUCGUAUGUUUUAUUUAUCCCAAUGUACCAAAAAUAUAAUUUCAUAAUGUUAUCGAUGUAAAAAGUAUUGAUGUGAUAUUUUACAUUUUUUCAUACAUCUUUGAAAUCUUGUGUAAAUUUUGCAUUAGCAGUACAUCUUCCAUUGCUGAUUUCUCAUUGGAAAUAGUCUGUAUUUAGAGUUUGUAAAAUUUCCAGCUGAAAAACUAGAUUUGUGAGCCGCAGUUGCUCCAGUCGUACUUGAAAAUCUUCCAACAACCAAAUAGAGUGUGUUUUAAAAUUUACAUUAAUUUCAAUUAACUAAUAUUAAAAGUUUUACAGAAGCCACAUUUCAAGUGUUGAACAGCCACACGUACUAGUGGCAAGUGUGUUAAACAGCACAUAUGUAAAUCUCGUCACCAGUCCACAGGAACGCACAUGGUACCAAGAAGGGAAAGAAGAUACCACGUAUGUGCAGUCACUCAAUUCAGAGUGUGGAAAAUGCUACAGGGUAAGGAAUCUGGUUAAUUGCAAUUAAAAAAAGAGAGAGAGAUAACCUGUAUAUAAAAUAAAUUUAAGAGACUUGUCC